ensembl:lncRNA
AUGAUGAAGGGUGGGGCCCUCAACAAUAUGAUUAAUGAUGGGGCCCUCAACAAUAUGAUUAAGGAGGGGGCCCUCAACAUGAUGAUUAAGGAUGGGGCCCUCAACAUGAUGAUUAAGGAUGGGGCCCUCAACAUGAUGAUUAAUGAUGGGGUCCUCAACAUGAUGAUUAGGGAUGGGGCCCUCAACAUGAUGAUUAGGAAUGGGGCCCUCAACAUGAUGAUGAUGAAGGGUGGGGCCCUCAACAUGAUGAUGAUGAAGGGUGGGGCCCUCAACAAUAUGAUUAAUGAUGGGGCCCUCAACAAUAUGAUUAAGGAUGGGGCCCUCAACAUGAUGAUUAAGGAUGGGGCCCUCAACAUGAUGAUUAAGGACGGGGCCCUCAACAUGAUGAUUAAGGAUGGGCCCCUCAACAUGAUUAAGGAUGGGGCCCUCAACAUGAUGAUUAAGGAUGGGGCCCUCAACAUGAUGAUUAAGGAUGGCCCCUCAACAUGAUGAUUAAGGAUGGGGCCCUCAACAGGAUGAUUAAUGAUUGGGCCCUCAACAUGAUGUUUAAGGACUGGGCCCUCAACACGAUAAAGGUAGGGGCCCACUCAUCCAUGGCCGAUUUGGGAACAAUUUGAAGUCGGACAGUUCUGCAGCCUCGUCGGAGCGGACUCACGGUGGACCUGUGGUUGAAACGCGUGUUGGGAGUGAAAGACGCAAAUCCUUGUCGGAACGAUUCCAGAUUCAGCCAAACAUGUUCGAUUUCCUCUGAGCUAGUGUUCGAUUGUUCGGGUGGUGUUCGUCGAAACGCACAAAUUGGCAGGUGAGUUUUUAUUGGCCGAUGGAAGGUUUGUAUUUGCGACGUAGGAGAAAACCUGGUUGUUUGGUGCGGCGUUAAAACACAGUGGGAGAACCCACUGUCGCGUUGCCCCGCGGGGCAGAACACAGUAGGGGGAAACAAUAAUUGAACUGAGGGGGCAACAGAGCCUUUUACCCCCUGUGGCGCCCGUGGCGCCUCGUGUGAGAGCGCUGACAAGACUGGAAAAUUGUCAAAUGUCGAUAAAGCUAAAAACGGAGAGUAGAAGAGAGAAAGCUUUUGAAAAAUAAACCACCCAAAAAUACACACUCUCUACAUUUCUCUAGCGUGUGCACACAUGUGAUUGACAGGCAUGAUUGACAGGCAAGAUGGAUCCCCCAAACAAUCAGGGAUGAUGCCAUGAUUGGUCAGAAAUGAGCGAGCAGAUAUCUAAACAUAGAAUCAGCUGGUCAACUGGAACAGGUGAUUUCACUCACUAGAGUACAUCUUGCUAUGACAUUUUAUUAUCGCUCAUUCCACACAAGAUUAUAGCUCACAAAUCUUUCUGCACCUAUAAAUGUGCGAUGCUCCGUCGUACUGUCAUUCUUUCCAGAUCCAGAAUUCAUGAAGUGUGUGUGGCCCCAGGUUACUCCAAGAAUAACAUGUUUAGAUUUAUAGCGCAGUACGACUUUCUUAUGAAUAAAGGCUCAAGGCCUGCUUCAACACCGUCGCGGAGACGCAGCCCUGAAUAUCUCACAACCCCUUUCAGAUCAGCUAUAAAUAAUGUUCUCAAUCGGCAUGAAUGUAUGAAUAUUAGAUAUCACCUCCUAACUUGUUUCUCAGUUUAAUAAUGAGAUGCGCCUGGACUGGACAGAAGAUGCUAGUAUUGAUUAUUGUUCAGUAUGUAUAUAAUUUAAAUCUCUGCAUUUUCUACUGUUUCAAUGUUUUGUAUGACUGCAUGCCGGAUGUACAUUUGUGUGAUUUGUAUGAUUUGAAUAUGUUUGACCAGUUUUGUGAUAUUUAUUUUUUAUUCAUUUUUAUUUUGGGUUUUAAUGAAUGGAUAAGUACAGUGCCAGUACUAGUAGUCUGGGAUUAUUAGAAUUGUGUAACUAGAUAUUCAUUGCAAAGCUGCACUUCAAUACCUCAUCCCCGUCUCGUAUGUUUCUAGAAGCCUUUCUUUUUAAGCGAUGAUGAAAGCUGUACUUGAAAUAAAAGGCAAACUACAAAGGUUGCAUAAACAUGAACAAUAUAA